AAAACAAGUACAACCCCUACAUUCAAACCUCAUUUCUUACCAUUAGCAAGAACUUGUUAUUCGAGCAAACCCCAUCCCAUGUGAGUGUGAGACAUCUUGAUGUAUAAAAAAUUAUGUACACCAAGCAAAACCCUUACAAAAUAAAAACAGAACGAGUACUGAAAUUGAUUUAUGUACACCAAGCAAAACCCUUACAAAAUAAAAACAGAACGAGUACUGAAAUUGAUUUGGUCAAGAGUUCUCUAUUGUCUAUAUAUAUCCAUACGUUUGUAUGCACGGGGCUGUGCUUCUUAGUGCUUGACCACCCUCUUGGUGUUUAUGAAAUGGUACAAACCAGGGUGGUUCGAUAGUAUUCUCUAUCAUCGUCCGACAAUCUCCAUUGGCAUCCCACCAUCUCAAAUGUCUCACACUCACACUCCAUUAUCUGCACUGAAGGUCAUAAUAUGACUGAAUAUUGACAUUCGGCGAGAUAAUUGUGGUUCAUAUUGUGAUUUUGCACAUAAUUUCAUUUUUAUUUUUUAGGCGUCAAUUCUUUAAAGAGCUUUUGUAAACUGAGCACCCAAAUUAGUCUUUGGGCCACGCAUGGAUCCAUUGACAUAAAUAACUAAAUUAGCCACACAUGGUCUCAAGCCACACCACAUGGACUAGCCAAUAGUUGCAACAAGAUAUAAACUGAAAUAGGGACUCUUUCAUCCCUUGGUCUACAAAUCUUUUAAAGAAUUUCCAGUAUUUUGAAAAUUUGGGAUUUAACAUUGCUAUGUUAAAACUUUAAAGUAUGCAUUUAAACAUUGAAAUAUGUCCUAAAU
rnacentral:lncRNA from 1 species